GAUGAACGCUGGCGGCGUGCCUAAUACAUGCAAGUCGAGCGAACAGACGAGGAGCUUGCUCCUCUGACGUUAGCGGCGGACGGGUGAGUAACACGUGGAUAACCUACCUAUAAGACUGGGAUAACUUCGGGAAACCGGAGCUAAUACCGGAUAAUAUAUUGAACCGCAUGGUUCAAUAGUGAAAGACGGUUUUGCUGUCACUUAUAGAUGGAUCCGCGCCGCAUUAGCUAGUUGGUAAGGUAACGGCUUACCAAGGCAACGAUGCGUAGCCGACCUGAGAGAGUGAUCGGCCACACUGGAACUGAGACACGGUCCAGACUCCGACGGGAGGCAGCAGUAGGGAAUCUUCCGCAGUGGGCGAAAGCUUGACGGAGCAACGCCGCGUGAGUGAUGAAGGUCUUCGGAUCGUAAAACUCUGUUAUUAGGGAAGAACAAAUGUGUAAGUAACUAUGCACGUCUUGACGGUACCUAAUCAGAAAGCCACGGCUAACUACGU
rnacentral:rRNA from 1 species